UAGGGAAUCUUCGGCAAUGGACGGAAGUCUGACCGAGCAACGCCGCGUGAGUGAAGAAGGUUUUCGGAUCGUAAAGCUCUGUUGUAAGAGAAGAACGAGUGUGAGAGUGGAAAGUUCACACUGUGACGGUAUCUUACCAGAAAGGGACGGCUAACUACGUGCCAGCAGCCGCGGUAAUACGUAGGUCCCGAGCGUUGUCCGGAUUUAUUGGGCAUAAAGCGAGCGCAGGCGGUUAGAUAAGUCUGAAGUUAAAGGCUGUGGCUUAACCAUAGUAGGCUUUGGAAACUGUUUAACUUGAGUGCAAGAGGGGAGAGUGGAAUUCCAUGUGUAGCGGUGAAAUGCGUAGAUAUAUGGAGGAACACCGGUGGCGAAAGCGGCUCUCUGGCUUGUAACUGACGCUGAGGCUCGAAAGCGUGGGGAGCAAACAGGAUUAGAUACCCUGGUAGUCCACGCUGUAAACGAUGAGUGCUAGGUGUUAGACCCUUUCCGGGGUUUAGUGCCGUAGCUAACGCAUUAAGCACUCCGCCUGGGGAGUACGACCGCAAGGUUG
rnacentral:rRNA from 1 species